rnacentral:rRNA from 1 species
GAGCGGCAACAGCUCAAAUUUGAAAUCUGGCCCCCAGGGCCCGAGUUGUAAUUCAGCAGAGGAUGCUUUUGGCGCGGUGCCUUCCGAGUUCCCUGGAACGGGACGCCAUAGAGGGUGAGAGCCCCGUCUGGUCGGACGCCUAGCCUGUGUAAAGCUCCUUCGACGAGUCGAGUAGUUUGGGAAUGCUGCUCUAAAUGGGAGGUAUAUGUCUUCUAAAGCUAAAUACCGGCCAGAGACCGAUAGCGCACAAGUAGAGUGAUCGAAAGAUGAAAAGCACUUUGAAAAGAGGGUUAAAUAGUACGUGAAAUUGUUGAAAGGGAAGCGCUUGUGACCAGACUUGGGCCCGGUGGAUCAUCCAGCGUUCUCGCUGGUGCACUCCGCCGGGUUCAGGCCAGCAUCAGUUCGCCGCGGGGGAAAAAGGCUUCGGGAACGUGGCUCCUACGGGAGUGUUAUAGCCCGUUGCAUAAUACCCUGGGGCGGACUGAGGUUCGCGCUCCGCAAGGAUGCUGGCGUAAUGGUCAUCAGCGACCCGUCU